GCGAAAGUGGCGGAACCGGUAGACGCGCCAGCCUUAGGAGCUGGUGGCCGCAAGGCCGUGGGGGUUCGAGUCCCCCCUUUCGCA
rnacentral:tRNA from 1 species